ACGGGAGGCAGCAGUGGGGAAUAUUGGACAAUGGGGGAAACCCUGAUCCAGCGACGCCGCGUGAGUGAAGAAGUGUUUCGGUAUGUAAAGCUCUAUCAGCAGGGAAGAUAAUGACGGUACCUGACUAAGAAGCCCCGGCUAACUACGUGCCAGCAGCCGCGGUAAUACGUAGGGGGCAAGCGUUAUCCGGAUUUACUGGGUGUAAAGGGAGCGUAGACGGCAAAGCAAGUCUGAUGUGAAAGGCAGGGGCUCAACUCCUGGACUGCAUUGGAAACUGUUUAGCUAGAGUGCAGGAGAGGUAAGUGGAAUUCCUAGUGUAGCGGUGAAAUGCGUAGAUAUUAGGAGGAACACCAGUGGCGAAGGCGGCUUACUGGACAGUAACUGACGCUGAGGCGCGAAAGCGUGGGGAGCAAACAGGAUUAGAUACCCUGGUA
rnacentral:rRNA from 1 species